GCCCUGCCUGCUCCCCAGCCCUUUCCUUUCUUGUGGGUUCCCGUAAAGCCCAGCAGCCCCGAGACGUCUGCAGAGCAUCACGGAAUCUGUGCUGAUGCAAGUCGCUAGCCUUCCUUUGGUGCGCCCCGGCCUGCCUCGAAGGGCUUUGAUCCCGGCCUUCCCGGCUCCAGAACUUGUGCUGGCUCCCUCUGUCCGCGGGGAGGCCCGCGAUCUGCAGCCGGCCUUCACCUCUCAGUCCCUGAACGCCAGGCACAGAGAAGCGCCCUGAUGCUGCGGGACCGACCGACUGGUGCAACUGGUGCCUCGGACUAACUGAAUGCCAAGCCGAGAAUUUAGCCUCCAAGCCCAGUUCAUGGCCCCCUCUGUGGGGAAUCAUUCCAGGAUCACCCAGUAACAAAGGAUUCUCUGACUCCCUGGAAUAAGAUACUAAGAAGAAUAGGGGCCAAUCUUUAUUGAACACUUACCAGGCGGAAUACUUUAAGGGAUUGUCUUAUGCAAUCCUCCCAACAAAAGUUUGAGAUCUCUGGAUCAGUCAGGAGUCCAUCAGGAAACAGACUUCAGCCCAGAUGGUUCAAAGGAAGAGGCUUUAAUAGAAUGUUUCCAUAAAGAGGUGUGAGCAGGGCGAAGAGAGUGACAAGGGACCUUGUUGCACCCCAGGCCUAGUAACAGGUGGUGGAAACUGCUGACCACCCCCAGGGUUGAAAAGGGAAGAAAAUAGAGUUAUUAAGAGCCUUGUGCACCCUUGGACCGUGGAAGAAGGCCAUCGGCAGGAUAAAGAGAAGCAGCCCCUGCCAGAGAGAGCCCUGAAGAGGAUGGCGACAAGAUCCCAAGCCCAUCUCUCCCACCCCUGUCAGCCUCCCAGGGUACAGAGAGGGCAAGGAAGGGUGAUGGUGGAUCUGGUGGGGUGGGGAAGACACAUUCAGCAAAUGAGGAAGAACCAGCACAGAUGCUGUUAAACCCAGAUGUAUCUUCUUACGGGUGGCAUUUCAGGAUGGGGGAAAUACGGUCCAUCAGUGACUCUCACAUCUCACCCCAAGUCAGGGUAAACAUCAGAAUAACCCACACAGCUUUUCAAGCUGCACCUCCCCUCCCUUUAAACCUCAGGGAUACACUCAGCCACUAAUCCCAAGGGAAUGUGUUGUAUCCCUCAGGUGUGGGGGCAGAAAGAAAGGCUGGGAACCAUGGAUCAAAAG
ensembl:lncRNA